AUUGAACGCUGGCGGCAGGCCUAACACAUGCAAGUCGAGCGGAUGAAGGGAGCUUGCUCCUGGAAUCAGCGGCGGACGGGUGAGUAAUGCCUAGGAAUCUGCCUGGUAGUGGGGGAUAACGUCCGGAAACGGGCGCUAAUACCGCAUACGUCCUGAGGGAGAAAGUGGGGGAUCUUCGGACCUCACGCUAUCAGAUGAGCCUAGGUCGGAUUAGCUAGUUGGUGGGGUAAAGGCCUACCAAGGCGACGAUCCGUAACUGGUCUGAGAGGAUGAUCAGUCACACUGGAACUGAGACACGGUCCAGACUCCUACGGGAGGCAGCAGUGGGGAAUAUUGGACGAUGGGCGAAAGCCUGAUCCAGCCAUGCCGCGUGUGUGAAGAAGGUCUUCGGAUUUUAAAGCACUUUAAGUUGGGAGGAAGGGCAGUAAGUUAAUACCUUGCUGUUUUGACGUUACCAACAGAAUAAGCACCGGCUAACUUCGUG
rnacentral:rRNA from 1 species